rnacentral:rRNA from 1 species
UACAGAGGGGGCAAGCGUUGUUCGGAAUUACUGGGCGUAAAGGGCGCGUAGGCGGCCACCGCAAGUCGACUGUGAAAUCUCCGGGCUUAACUCGGAAAGGUCAGCCGAUACUGCGGGGCUAGAGUGCAGAAGGGGCAACUGGAAUUCUCGGUGUAGCGGUGAAAUGCGUAGAUAUCGAGAGGAACACCUGCGGCGAAGGCGGGUUGCUGGGCUGACACUGAUGCUGAUGUGCGAAAGCUAGGGGAGCGAACGGG